rnacentral:rRNA from 1 species
UACGAAGGGGGCUAGCGUUGCUCGGAAUUACUGGGCGUAAAGGGCGCGUAGGCGGACAGUUUAGUCAGAGGUGAAAGCCCAGGGCUCAACCUUGGAAUUGCCUUUGAUACUGGCUGUCUUGAGUUCGGGAGAGGUGGAGUGGAAUGCCGAGUGUAGAGGUGAAAUUCGUAGAUAUUCGGCGGAACACCAGUGGCGAAGGCGACUCACUGGCCCGAUACUGACGCUGAGGCGGCGAAAGCGUGGGGAGCAAACAGGG